GACAGAGGGGGCAAGCGUUGCUCGGAAUCACUGGGCGUAAAGGGCGCGGAGGCGGGAUGGCAAGUCGGUCGUGAAAUCCUUCGGCCCAACCGAAGAACGUCGGCCGAUACUGCCGUUCUUGAGGGAUGCAGAGGAGACUGGAAUUCCCGGUGUAGCGGUGAAAUGUGUAGAGAUCGGGAGGAACACCGGUGGCGAAGGCGGGUCUCUGGGCAUUUCCUGACGCUGAGGCGCGAAAGCGUGGGGAGCAAACGGG
rnacentral:rRNA from 1 species